UACGAAGGGGGCUAGCGUUGCUCGGAAUCACUGGGCGUAAAGGGUGCGUAGGCGGGUCUUUAAGUCAGGGGUGAAAUCCUGGAGCUCAACUCCAGAACUGCCUUUGAUACUGAGGAUCUUGAGUACGGGAGAGGUGAGUGGAACUGCGAGUGUAGAGGUGAAAUUCGUAGAUAUUCGCAAGAACACCAGUGGCGAAGGCGGCUCACUGGCCCGUAACUGACGCUGAGGAGCGAAAUCAUGGGGAGCGAACAGG
rnacentral:rRNA from 1 species